rnacentral:rRNA from 1 species
AUGAACGCUAGCUACAGGCUUAACACAUGCAAGUCGAGGGGCAUCAGGAAGAAAGCUUGCUUUCUUUGCUGGCGACCGGCGCACGGGUGAGUAACACGUAUCCAACCUGCCCUUUACUCGGGGAUAGCCUUUCGAAAGAAAGAUUAAUACCCGAUGGCAUAAUGAUUCCGCAUGGUUUCAUUAUUAAAGGAUUCCGGUAAAGGAUGGGGAUGCGUUCCAUUAGGUUGUUGGUGAGGUAACGGCUCACCAAGCCUUCGAUGGAUAGGGGUUCUGAGAGGAAGGUCCCCCACAUUGGAACUGAGACACGGUCCAAACUCCUACGGGAGGCAGCAGUGAGGAAUAUUGGUCAAUGGGCGCUAGCCUGAACCAGCCAAGUAGCGUGAAGGAUGAAGGCUCUAUGGGUCGUAAACUUCUUUUAUAUAAGAAUAAAGUGCAGUAUGUAUACUGUUUUGUAUGUAUUAUAUGAAUAAGGAUCGGCUAACUCCGUGCCAGCAGCCGCGGUGAUACGGAGGAUCCGAGCGUUAUCCGGAUUUAUUGGGUUUAAAGGGAGCGUAGGUGGACUGGUAAGUCAGUUGUGAAAGUUUGCGGCUCAACCGUAAAAUUGCAGUUGAUACUGUCAGUCUUGAGUACAGUAGAGGUGGGCGGAAUUCGUGGUGUAGCGGUGAAAUGCUUAGAUAUCACGAAGAACUCCGAUUGCGAAGGCAGCUCACUGGACUGCAACUGACACUGAUGCUCGAAAGUGUGGGUAUCAAACAGGAUUAGAUACCCUGGUAGUCCACACAGUAAACGAUGAAUACUCGCUGUUUGCGAUAUACAGUAAGCGGCCAAGCGAAAGCAUUAAGUAUUCCACCUGGGGAGUACGCCGGCAACGGUGAAACUCAAAGGAAUUGACGGGGGCCCGCACAAGCGGAGGAACAUGUGGUUUAAUUCGAUGAUACGCGAGGAACCUUACCCGGGCUUAAAUUGCAGUGGAAUGAUGUGGAAACAUGUCAGUGAGCAAUCACCGCUGUGAAGGUGCUGCAUGGUUGUCGUCAGCUCGUGCCGUGAGGUGUCGGCUUAAGUGCCAUAACGAGCGCAACCCUUAUCUUUAGUUACUAACAGGUCAUGCUGAGGACUCUAGAGAGACUGCCGUCGUAAGAUGUGAGGAAGGUGGGGAUGACGUCAAAUCAGCACGGCCCUUACGUCCGGGGCUACACACGUGUUACAAUGGGGGGUACAGAAGGCAGCUAGCGGGUGACCGUAUGCUAAUCCCAAAAUCCUCUCUCAGUUCGGAUCGAAGUCUGCAACCCGACUUCGUGAAGCUGGAUUCGCUAGUAAUCGCGCAUCAGCCACGGCGCGGUGAAUACGUUCCCGGGCCUUGUACACACCGCCCGUCAAGCCAUGGGAGCCGGGGGUACCUGAAGUACGUAACCGCAAGGAUCGUCCUAGGGUAAAACUGGUGACUGGGGCU